AACAGUGAUUGCCAGCUUCUUCUCUGCCUGCAAUGAGCCAGAGUU
rnacentral:sRNA from 1 species